GGGGAAUUUUGGACAAUGGGCGCAAGCCUGAUCCAGCCAUUCCGCGUGCAGGAUGAAGGCCCUCGGGUUGUAAACUGCUUUUGUACGGAACGAAACGGUGCUCUCUAAUACAGGGCGCUAAUGACGGUACCGUAAGAAUAAGCACCGGCUAACUACGUGCCAGCAGCCGCGGUAAUACGUAGGGUGCAAGCGUUAAUCGGAAUUACUGGGCGUAAAGCGUGCGCAGGCGGUUUUGGAAGACAGGUGUGAAAUCCCCGGGCUUAACCUGGGAACUGCACUUGUGACUGCAAAGCUGGAGUGCGGCAGAGGGGGAUGGAAUUCCGCGUGUAGCAGUGAAAUGCGUAGAUAUGCGGAGGAACACCGAUGGCGAAGGCAAUCCCCUGGGCCUGCACUGACGCUCAUGCACGAAAGCGUGGGGAGCAAAC
rnacentral:rRNA from 1 species